UACGUAGGGGGGCAAGCGUUGUCCGGAAUUAUUGGGCGUAAAGCGCGUGUAGGCGGUCCGAUAAGUCGGCUGUGAAAGUCCAGGGCUCAACUCUGGAAUGCCGGCCGAUACUGUCGGACUAGAGUCCGGAAGAGGCAAGUGGAAUUCCCGGUGUAGCGGUGAAAUGCGUAGAUAUCGUAAGGAAGACCAGUGGCGAAGGCGGGUCUCGUGGA
rnacentral:rRNA from 1 species